GACGAACGCUGGCGGCGUGCCUAAUACAUGCAAGUAGAACGCAGUUGCGAACGGGUGAGUAACGCGUAGGUAACUGCCUCAUAGCGGGGGAUAACUAUUGGAAACGAUAGCUAAUACCGCAUACUGUGAGAUGGACCUGCGUUGUAUUAGCUAGUUGGUGAGGUAAAGGCUCACCAAGGCGACGAUACAUAGCCGACCUGAGAGGGUGAUCGGCCAUACUGUGACUGAGACACGGACCUGACUCCUACGGGAGGAAGCAGUAGGGGGUCCACGGCAAUCGACGGACGUCUGACCGCGUAACGCCGCGUGAGGGAAGAAGGUUUUCGCAUCGUAAAGCCCUGUUGUUAGAGAAGCGGUAACUAAUCAGAAAGCUACGGCUAACUACGUGCCAGCAGCCGCGGUAAUUC
rnacentral:rRNA from 1 species